CCUUCGAUAGCUCAGUUGGUAGAGCGGUGGACUGUAGAUCGUACGAAAAUAGUAAAUAGUAAUCCAUAGGUCGCUGGUUCAAAUCCGGCUCGAAGGA
rfam:Aedes albopictus isolate Foshan contig68500, whole genome shotgun sequence.